rnacentral:rRNA from 1 species
UCCACCGGAAAAAGAGGAGUGGCGAACGGGUGAGUAACACGUGGGUAACCUGCCCAUCAGAAGGGGAUAACACUUGGAAACAGGUGCUAAUACCGUAUAACAAUCRAAACCGCAKGGUUUUGAUUUGAAAGGCGCUUUCGGGUGUCGCUGAUGGAUGGACCCGCGGUGCAUUAGCUAGUUGGUGAGGUAACGGCUCACCAAGGCCACGAUGCAUAGCCGACCUGAGAGGGUGAUCGGCCACAUUGGGACUGAGACACGGCCCAAACUCCUACGGGAGGCAGCAGUAGGGAAUCUUCGGCAAUGGACGAAAGUCUGACCGAGCAACGCCGCGUGAGUGAAGAAGGUUUUCGGAUCGUAAAACUCUGUUGUUAGAGAAGAACAAGGAUGAGAGUAACUGUUCAUCCCUUGACGGUAUCUAACCAGAAAGCCACGGCUAACUACGUGCCAGCAGCCGCGGUAAUACGUAGGUGGCAAGCGUUGUCCGGAUUUAUUGGGCGUAAAGCGAGCGCAGGCGGUUUCUUAAGUCUGAUGUGAAAGCCCCCGGCUCAACCGGGGAGGGUCAUUGGAAACUGGGAGACUUGAGUGCAGAAGAGGAGAGUGGAAUUCCAUGUGUAGCGGUGAAAUGCGUAGAUAUAUGGAGGAACACCAGUGGCGAAGGCGGCUCUCUGGUCUGUAACUGACGCUGAGGCUCGAAAGCGUGGGGAGCAAACAGGAUUAGAUACCCUGGUAGUCCACGCCGUAAACGAUGAGUGCUAAGUGUUGGAGGGUUUCCGCCCUUCAGUGCUGCAGCUAACGCAUUAAGCACUCCGCCUGGGGAGUACGACCGCAAGGUUGAAACUCAAAGGAAUUGACGGGGGCCCGCACAAGCGGUGGAGCAUGUGGUUUAAUUCGAAGCAACGCGAAGAACCUUACCAGGUCUUGACAUCCUUUGACCACUCUAGAGAUAGAGCUUCCCCUUCGGGGGCAAAGUGACAGGUGGUGCAUGGUUGUCGUCAGCUCGUGUCGUGAGAUGUUGGGUUAAGUCCCGCAACGAGCGCAAC